GCCUUCACCUCUCUGCCCCCUGGAAAUGAAUGAUCAGGGCCUGUCGUCCUCUCCACACCACGAUAUCAAGAUCAUUUAAAAGGUUACAUCCUACAAUGACUGAUUCAAACUUUCCCUCAUUUAUUGACAAGCAGUGAACAACUUGUUCUCGUGAACCGGAUCAAUAAACCAGUUAUAACAUUCAAGAUGGCUGCUUGGUCGUCUGCUGUCCAUAGCAUGAGUCACAACACCAUUCAUUGACUCACCAUAUCUCUUAGUUCAGGAGUUUACAACAUGUGUUUAGUUCCAUGUCUGUCAGUGUUCAGGAGUAAAGAUUGAGAAAAGAUAAAAAAAUAACGAAUACAUUUUACGCUGUGAUAUAUCUAACCAACCUUUCAAAAUCUACCGUGGAAACGGAUCACCAUGGAGACUACAGAUAUAUCGGACUUGAAAUCACCAUAUAAACAUCAACGAAAAAUUGAUUUAACCACCCGAACUUUGACUGUGAUACUCCCGAUUGUAGCCGCAAUUAAAAUAAUCGUAUCUCUGUGCUUCCUUACACAGUGUAGGAAUAGACUACGUGAUGUGACUAAUGCUGUAGGACUACAUCAUGCGCCAUGCUAUCAUCUAGUUACCCCUGGUUACAUCGGAUGUGUUGUUAUAUUCUUUACCAUAUUUGGUCUGUGUUGUCUGGGCAAGCGAAUAACAGCCAUUUUGUUUUUAAUUCUCGCUGUUUCAGGGACUGCUGUAGGAGUGUAUUUAUUUGUGUGUAAAAAUUGUACGAUGCAUCCAAGUGAAAUCACAGGGUUAUUAAACGUGACAGUAUCUAACUGUGUAACACAGAACACAGAACUCAGUGCAAGCUGGCGAUUGGUCAAACAUAGGCAUGUGACUUGUGUUAAAACCGCUGAUUGGAUAAUCACCAAGUGUAGUCAUCUCAAUACAACAAAGAAAGACAACUCCGUAGAACUUCCUGAAUGGAGAACUUGUAGAAAUAGCCUUUUUGACUUUAUCAAUGACACGCAGAAUUACUACAUGCUGUUUGUCUUUGUAAUGAUUUUAAUUGGCUGUGUUUUUUUUCUCGUUGUGUCAGUCUUGUUGCUCUAUCUACACAAUGCUACCAGGAGAUUAAACAAACUCGUCAUACAAGAAGGCGAAGCACUGACUGAGCUUAACUCAACUCCUAGGAAACCAACACAAAAUACAAACUGUCCAUCCAAAUUUCAGCUACAUGUAACGAUGAAAUGGUGUUUACCAAGUGUCUCGAAAACUGCAAUGAAGCCAAUUUCUAUUGAAGAAGUGUAGAGGAAUGUUUAAAAUAUUUUCCUUAUAGUAAGAGAACCACACCAAGCAUAAACAAACUAAUAUAGUGGACACACAUGAUCACACGGAAACUUGAACAAUGCAAAUCAUAAACAAUAAAAGUACUGAUGGUCCCAAUAAUCGGUUUCAACAUGUGAUAUUAUUAAUACGGAUAGUAGCCAUGUCGAACCAUCACUGAAUAGAAGUACUGAUACCAACAGUUCAAGUAAAAUGGCCGACCAUACAAUCCCCAGGCCUGCAGUGAAACAG